AUCGCUGAUUAUUCCCAUGACAUAUGGACUUUUACGGAAAAUCGAAAGUGUUGUACCUUUACUACAAACUCUUCAAGGAAAAACUUUAAACAAAAUAUUGAUGGAAUCAAUCAAGCAACGUCUUUCCGUAUAUGAGCAGAGAACAGUCUGCAGGAUGGCUACGCUUUUGGAUCCACGGUUCAAAAAAAGUGGAUUUCAACAUAGCUCAAACGCUGAACAAGCAGCAACAUGUUUUGAAAAUGAGCUGACCAAUUUUCCAGUUAAAGAGACCGCAAGUAAUCAACCCGUAGCACCGGAUUCAAGUUUACAGGAUACUUUGUUCGAUUUUUUGGGUGAGCGUUCCAUGAAUAAAUUUGUAAACUCAGAAGUCGAUGCAAUUUUAACUAAGAGGCAGUAUCUGGAAAGGGCAAUUGUCGGACAAGAUAUCGACCCUCUAAUAUGGAUGAAGGUGAAUCAAACUGAUUUCCCUGCCAUUGGGAGCCUUUUCGCCAAAUAUCUUUGCAUUCCGGCUACGUCCGUGGAGACUGAAAGAACAUUCAGCAAGGCGGGCCAAAUAAUAUCGGAGAGGCGAACCCGGCUCAAAGAAAAAAAUGUUAACAUUCUUUUGUUUUUAAAUCGCAACUCUUGGCUGAAAUAAAGCAUAUUUUAUUGUA